rnacentral:rRNA from 1 species
GAUGAACGCUGGCGGCGUGCCUAAUACAUGCAAGUCGAGCGAACGGACGAGAAGCUUGCUUCUCUGAUGUUAGCGGCGGACGGGUGAGUAACACGUGGAUAACCUACCUAUAAGACUGGGAUAACUUCGGGAAACCGGAGCUAAUACCGGAUAAUAUUUUGAACCGCAUGGUUCAAAAGUGAAAGACGGUCUUGCUGUCACUUAUAGAUGGAUCCGCGCUGCAUUAGCUAGUUGGUAAGGUAACGGCUUACCAAGGCAACGAUGCAUAGCCGACCUGAGAGGGUGAUCGGCCACACUGGAACUGAGACACGGUCCAGACUCCUACGGGAGGCAGCAGUAGGGAAUCUUCCGCAAUGGGCGAAAGCCUGACGGAGCAACGCCGCGUGAGUGAUGAAGGUCUUCGGAUCGUAAAACUCUGUUAUUAGGGAAGAACAUAUGUGUAAGUAACUGUGCACAUCUUGACGGUACCUAAUCAGAAAGCCACGGCUAACUACGUGCCAGCAGCCGCGGUAAUACGUAGGUGGCAAGCGUUAUCCGGAAUUAUUGGGCGUAAAGCGCGCGUAGGCGGUUUUUUAAGUCUGAUGUGAAAGCCCACGGCUCAACCGUGGAGGGUCAUUGGAAACUGGAAAACUUGAGUGCAGAAGAGGAAAGUGGAAUUCCAUGUGUAGCGGUGAAAUGCGCAGAGAUAUGGAGGAACACCAGUGGCGAAGGCGACUUUCUGGUCUGUAACUGACGCUGAUGUGCGAAAGCGUGGGGAUCAAACAGGAUUAGAUACCCUGGUAGUCCACGCCGUAAACGAUGAGUGCUAAGUGUUAGGGGGUUUCCGCCCCUUAGUGCUGCAGCUAACGCAUUAAGCACUCCGCCUGGGGAGUACGACCGCAAGGUUGAAACUCAAAGGAAUUGACGGGGACCCGCACAAGCGGUGGAGCAUGUGGUUUAAUUCGAAGCAACGCGAAGAACCUUACCAAAUCUUGACAUCCUUUGACAACUCUAGAGAUAGAGCCUUCCCCUUCGGGGGACAAAGUGACAGGUGGUGCAUGGUUGUCGUCAGCUCGUGUCGUGAGAUGUUGGGUUAAGUCCCGCAACGAGCGCAACCCUUAAGCUUAGUUGCCAUCAUUAAGUUGGGCACUCUAAGUUGACUGCCGGUGACAAACCGGAGGAAGGUGGGGAUGACGUCAAAUCAUCAUGCCCCUUAUGAUUUGGGCUACACAUGUGCUACAAUGGACAAUACAAAGGGCAGCGAAACCGCGAGGUCAAGCAAAUCCCAUAAAGUUGUUCUCAGUUCGGAUUGUAGUCUGCAACUCGACUACAUGAAGCUGGAAUCGCUAGUAAUCGUAGAUCAGCAUGCUACGGUGAAUACGUUCCCGGGUCU